GAGUUUGAUCCUGGCUCAGAACGAACGCUGGCGGCGUGCUUAACACAUGCAAGUCGAACGUGAUCCGGAGCUUGCUCCGGUGAAAGUGGCGCACGGGUGAGUAACGCGUGGAUAACCUGCCCUGGUAUCUGGGAUAACAUCUCGAAAGGGGUGCUAAUACCGGAUAAGCCUACGGACUCUUCGGAGUCUGCARRAAAARRAGGCCUCUAUUUAUAAGCUUCCGUAUCAUGAUGGGUCCGCGUACCAUUAGCUAGUUGGUGGGGUAAUGGCCYMCCAAGGUGACGAUGGUUAGCUGGUCUGAGAGGAUGAUCAGCCACACUGGAACUGAGACACGGUCCAGACUCCUACGGGAGGCAGCAGUGGGGAAUUUUGCGCAAUGGGGGAAACCCUGACGCAGCAACGCCGCGUGAGUGAUGAAGGCUUUCGGGUCGUAAAGCUCUGUCAGAGGGGAAGAAAUGAGAUUGGCUAAUAUCCAAUUUUCUUGACGGUACCCUCAAAGGAAGCACCGGCUAACUCCGUGCCAGCAGCCGCGGUAAUACAAGGGCGMCYYCWR
rnacentral:rRNA from 1 species